UACGAAGGGGGCUAGCGUUGUUCGGAAUUACUGGGCGUAAAGCGCGCGCAGGCGGUUCUUCAAGUCAGAGGUGAAAGCCCAGAGCUCAACUCUGGAAUGGCCUUUGAGACUAGAGAACUAGGGUACGGGAGAGGUGAGUGGAAUUCCGAGUGUAGAGGUGAAAUUCGUAGAUAUUAGGAAGAACACCAGUGGCGAAGGCGGCUCACUGGUCCGGUACUGACGCUGAGGUGCGAAAGCGUGGGGAGCAAACAGGG
rnacentral:rRNA from 1 species